GACGAACGCUGGCGGCGUGCCUAAUACAUGCAAGUGGGACGCAAGGAAACACACUGUGCUUGCACACCGUGUUUUCUUGAGUCGCGAACGGGUGAGGAACGCGUAGGUAACCUGCCUAUUAGCGGGGGAUAACUAUUGGCAACGAUAGGUAAUACCGCAUAAUAUUAAUUAUUGCAUGAUAAUUGAUUGAAAGAUGCAAGCGCAUCACUAGUAGAUGGACCUGCGUUGUAUUCGCUAGUUGGUAAGGUAAGAGCUUACCAAGGCGGCGAGACAUAGCCGACCUGAGGGGGUGAUCAGCCGCACUGGGACGGGGACACGGCCCAGACUCCUGCGGGAGGCAACAGUAGGGAUUCUUCGGCAAUGGGCGGAAGUCUGACCGAGCAACGCCGCGUGAGUGAAGAAGGUUUUCGGAUCGUGAAGCUAUGUUGUAAGUGAAGAACGUGUGUCAGAGUGGAAAGUUCACACAGUGACGGUAGCUUACCAGAAAGGGACGGCUAACUACGUG
rnacentral:rRNA from 1 species